AACGAACGCUGGCGGCAUGCUUAACACAUGCAAGUUGAACGCAGAAUAGAGCUUCGGCUCUAUUGCUGAGUAGCAAACGGGUGAGUAACGCGUGGGAAUCUGCCUUCUUGUGGGGGAUAACUAAGGGAAACUUUAGCUAAUACCGCAUACGCUCUACGGAGGAAAGGCUUCGGCCGCAAGAAGAGGAGCCCGCGUCAGAUUAGGUAGUUGGUAGGGUAAAGGCCUACCAAGCCAAUGAUCUGUAGCUGGUCUGAGAGGAUGAUCAGCCACACUGGGACUGAGACACGGCCCAGACUCCUACGGGAGGCAGCAGUAGGGAAUCUUGCGCAAUGCGCGAAAGCGUGACGCAGCAACGCCGCGUGGGGAAG
rnacentral:rRNA from 1 species